GCCCGCUCCGGUUUGGAGAUGGGUAGGGUAGAGUGCAAUUUGCUAAAUAUAGCCCAAGUGGCAGUAAUGGGUAGCGUUUUACCAGACAGGUUUUCCCAAUAGCUGGCGACCUCCUUCCAGAACUGCUGUAUAAGUGGGCAUGACCAUAAGCAAUGUAUCAAGUCAGCUGUGGGUGUUUCACAUCUUAGGCAGUGAUCCGAGUGUGCCGUACCUAUGUGAAAUCUCUUUAAAGGUGUCAGAUAAGUAUGGUGUAGCAGUUGUAUGGACAUUUCCUGGUAUAUGCUAGCAGGCAAAAUUUUCAUCAUGCGAGUGUGAUAUCGAAGGAUGUCCACAUUAUCAGCUUGUGGAAUGAUUGAUUUCCAUUUCGUGAAAGCCGUAGUGGCAUUAUCUGCAUCAAGAGUGGUCCUAAUCUGUUUGUAAAUGUGUGCAGUAGAUUUAAUAGUAUCGUGUUUUGGCCAUAGUGAAUCAAGUAGGUUAUUUUUGUCCUUAUCCGUUAGUUUGGUCAGUCGUUGUGCAACAAAAUGUAAGAGCUGAAGCAGUGAGAAUUGAUGGAGUUGCAAAAAUGGGUAGUUUUGAAGCAAGGUUGAGGUGGGUUGCAACGCGAAGGUAGGGGUGACUAUGUCUUUAAUAUUUUGUAAGCCAUGUGUCUGCCAAGCUUUAAAAAUCAGACUAUUCAAGUAUAAUAGUAUUUUCACAUUACCUUUUUGUAUAGAGUCAGUGUCAAGAAUGUGACGUAUAACUUUACACUUCUAAUGACCAUGAAUGAAGCCCAUGGGAACAAUUUUCUGCGGGAGAGACAAAGCACACAGUGCAUAAUAGCUACUAUAUCAAGGUGAAGGUAUCUUUCCUCUUUUUUAUUUUAAGGCGUUUGAAGAAUAACAAAGCAUCUACAGAUGGUCACCGCUAUAUUUUCCGAGGUCGAAUCAACACAGAAGUGAUGGAGGUGGAGAAUGUUGAUGAUGGAACAGCUGAUUUUCACAGCAGUGGAAACAUGGUUGUCAAUGGUUGGAAGAUACAUAAUACAGCCAAGAACAAAUGGUUUGUCUGCAUGGCGAAGACCCCAGAGGCCGCCGUUCCCCUUGUGGUGUGUUUGUGUGCAUGGAGGAGACGUGAUGCAUCUUCACCCUUUUAAUUAAAUAAACAUACAUGGGGGCAGUACACAUGCCCGGGUAGCCUCCUCCUGCCGCUGCCACCCUGUAGUCAGCCCCGGGCACACUCAGAUGGGAAGACUCUGGGAAGCGACGUUUGGCUCACCCGUCAUGCCUGCCCAAAGCCUGUGAGCUGAGCCUCAGCCUCUUUCACAUGCCGUCAGUAGCCAGGGAGGAGAAAUCGAGCACUGAAGGAUGGAUGGUCGCCGUGUCGCCUGUUUUGAAGAGGACAGGAAGUGGAGUUUUGAUCUCAUGAAUUGCAUUCCAAGGUACCCCCCCCAAGCAAACACCUCACAAAGCGAAAUGGUCGAGAGUCACAACUAACUAUAUAGUAUACGAAAUUAAACUGUACUGCCCUUCAAAGAUAGCUUGAAUGCAAAGACGGCACCACUCUGGUUAUGUUUGUAAAGUUUUUGCUUUAUUGCAAAAAUGUUAGAGAACUUACUAUGUUUGUAAUAAUACAGUUGCGCAAUAAAAUUAUUAAAAAAAAAGAAAAGCUAUUCUGCGCACUCAGGUCACAUAAGUCUGGUUAAAUACCGUCUCAAUAAGUGGCCAUGAUAAAUGGGGUUGCUUAACAUUUGAUACCAUUUACUUCUCUUUUAAGAACCUUACAGUAAAUGCCUAAUAUCUAGUUCACUUUUCCAGACCAAUAAGCAGUGCCAAAUCUUAUAUUGGCUCCUCAAUACUUACUUUGG